UGUGAACUGCAGGACACAUGAACAUCGACAAUUCGAACGCACAUUGCGGUCCGGGAAACGCCUCGGCGUUCCGGGACCACGUCAGGCUGAGGGUCGUUUUAAACGAAAGCGACACGGUUACGUCGCGACCGAGAGACGGCGCCGAUCCGAUCGAGGAACGCCCGUCUGACGAGUCGCGCCCACCGUUCGCUUGUCGAGACUGCCGUAGUCUGUGCACUACGGCGAGAUUGAAAGUUGUUCUCGCAGUCUCUUCGUAGUCUGCGUCUUUUAGAAAAACACACGCACACGAAGACGCACGCGCGCCGGCGACUACGUCGUCGUCGUCGUCGUCGUCCUCGUCGUUGUCGUUGUGGAAUUGUGUGGAAAAAGAACCGAAAUGUUUGUUUUUUUUGUUGCAGCUCGCACGCGUGUGAAGCGCGGUGAAAUUCUGCCGUCCCCCGCAGUUCGGAGCGACGUACGAAAUUCUUCGUACGUCGCUUGGACGCGUGCGGAAAGGCGUUUGGACACCACCUUAACACGAAACGCGUGCUUGCCUACGAAAAAACGUGGUGGCUGGCGUGUGCCAACGUGCGCUUGUGCGAACGGAGCAAAACAAACGCUCCGCAUCGUGUCGAUCGAAUCGGGUCGACGUUGACGGUCGUCCCUUUUCUCUCUCUCUGUGGUCACACUUCGUGCUCGCAUGUCCGCGUCGCCGACGUGUCGUAGAACGUAGCGUUCGUACGGAACGAAACGGAACGGAACGAGCUCGGUCUCGCGUCCGUCCGGUCAGUAGUCCGUCGUAGCUCUUCUCGUCGACGUCCGGCAGACAGGCGUUUCAGACUAAGUCGAGACACGAACGUGUGCGCGUCGAGAGCGAGCGGGGGCGCCGACUCGACUCCGAUAUUCGAUUUCGGUCUUUUGGUGUGUGACCGCGCGAUGCGGGGACGAGCUCUCCUAAUUUUUACCGAUCGAUAUCAAAUGAUAUUACACGCACGCACUCUACGAGGCGCCCCGUCGUCGUCGUCGUUUGCGUUGCGAUAUAGUUCGCAUUAGUGCGUGCGCGAGGCGUACAACGCGCACAAACACCACACACUCGUAUAUCACACACACACACACACACACACGACCUCAGUUCGGGCGAGAUCACCCGCUAAACUUAAGCAUAUCGCUAAGCGGAGGAAAAGAAACUAACUAGGAUUCCCUCAGUAGCUGCGAGCGAACAGG
rnacentral:misc_RNA from 1 species